GUCUCUGUAGCGCAACGGAUAGCACGUUGGACUUCUAAUCCAAAUGACGUUGGUUCGAAACCACCUGGGAUG